UCCCCGAAAGGGGAAAGAUUUAUCGGCAAAUGAUCGGCCCGCGUUGGAUUAGCUAGUUGGUGGGGUAAAGGCCUACCAAGGCGACGAUCCAUAGCUGGUCUGAGAGGAUGAUCAGCCACACUGGGACUGAGACACGGCCCAGACUCCUACGGGAGGCAGCAGUGGGGAAUAUUGGACAAUGGGCGCAAGCCUGAUCCAGCCAUGCCGCGUGAGUGAUGAAGGCCCUAGGGUUGUAAAGCUCUUUCACCGGUGAAGAUAAUGACGGUAACCGGAGAAGAAGCCCCGGCUAACUUCGUGCCAGCAGCCGCGGUAAUACGAAGGGGGCUAGCGUUGUUCGGAUUUACUGGGCGUAAAGCGCACGUAGGCGGGCUAAUAAGUCAGGGGUGAAAUCCCGGGGCUCAACCCCGGAACUGCCUUUGAUACUGUUAGUCUUGAGUAUGGUAGAGGUGAGUGGAAUUCCGAGUGU
rnacentral:rRNA from 1 species